GGGUAGAUAGCUCAGCUGGUAGAGCAAUGGACUGAAAAUCCAUGUGUCGCCGGUUCGAUUCCGGCUCUACCCA
rnacentral:tRNA from 1 species